UUUAAGUGCAACCAACUUUGAUCGUCCGUCUUAUUUGGAUUUUUUUACAAUUAAUAUUUUGUUAUUAUGAGAUGAUAAAAUAUGAAUAGUACUUUAUGUAACACUUAUGUUUUUAAUCUUUUUUUUCAAAAGACUUUGAAAUAAGACGGAUGAUUAAAGUUGGGCAUGAAAGAUCAUGCCUUUAUC
rfam:Oryza rufipogon genomic scaffold, chr01